rnacentral:rRNA from 1 species
GUCUACAGCCAUGCCACCCUGAAUGUGCCAAUCUCAUCUGAUCUCAGAAGCUAAGCACGGUCGGGCCUGCUUAUUACUUGGAUGGGAGACCAUCUAGGAAUAUAAGGUGCUGUAGGUG